CCUACGGGAGGCAGCAGUGGGGAAUAUUGCACAAUGGGGGGAACCCUGAUGCAGCGACGCCGCGUGAGUGAAGAAGUAUUUCGGUAUGUAAAGCUCUAUCAGCAGGGAAGAAAAUGACGGUACCUGACUAAUAAGCCCCGGCUAACUACGUGCCAGUAGCCGCGGUAAUACGUAGGGGGCAAGCGUUAUCCGGAUUUACUGGGUAUAAAGGGAGCGUAGUCGGUUAUGCAAGUCUGAAGUGAAAGCCCAAGGCUCAACCAUGGGACUGCUUUGGAAACUGUAAAACUGGAGUGCAGGAGAGGUAAGCGGAAUUACUAGUGUAGCGGGGAAAUGCGUAGAGAUUAGGAGGAACACCAGUGGCGAAGGCGGCUUACUGGACUGUAACUGACAUUGAUGCUCGAAAGUGUGGGUAUCAAACAGGAUUAGAUACCCUUGUAGUC
rnacentral:rRNA from 1 species